UACGAACCACACGAACGUUAUUCGGAAUUACUGGGCUUAAAGGGCGCGUAGGCGGUGCAGAAAGUUAGGUGUGAAAUCCCCCGGCUCAACCGGGGAAUUGCGCUUAAAACUACUGUGCUAGAGGAAGACAGAGGUGAGCGGAACUUCGGGUGGAGCGGUGAAAUGCGUUGAUAUCCGAAGGAACACCGGUGGCGAAAGCGGCUCACUGGGUCUUUUCUGACGCUGAUGCACGAAAGCUAGGGGAGCAAACGGG
rnacentral:rRNA from 1 species